rnacentral:rRNA from 1 species
ACUCCUACGGGAGGCAGCAGUGGGGAAUAUUGGACAAUGGGCGCAAGCCUGAUCCAGCAAUGCCGCGUGAGGGAUGAAGGCCUUCGGGUUGUAAACCUCUUUCAGUAGGGAAGAAGCGAAAGUGACGGUACCUACAGAAGAAGCACCGGCUAACUAUGUGCCAGCAGCCGCGGUAAU